UCUCUUCUGAGUGAAGGAAAAAAAAAAAAAAAAGUUGAGAUUGGUCUACAGAAGUCAAGAUUAAACUUUUAUACCUGCCAGGACAUGCUCAUUUGUCCGGGUUAGUACCAAAAAACAUAAGGAUGGAUUGUUGUGGGUUACUCGGCUUUAUCUCAGUACGUAACGGACAUAAUAAUGGGAGGACAUUUGCAUUAUGAAGAUUUGUGCAAUACCUGUUGAGGGAUACAUUGGAUGGGAUGCUGCUGUCUCCUCAACCAAAGGAGGCACAGAAUGAGCGGUCAAGUCUGGACCUAAAUCCAUGGAACAUGUAGAGAUAUCAUCCGGUAAUGCAGAUUUAUCACAGGAGACUCACUCUGGCAGGGAUUGAUCACAUAGGACCUGGCAAACCCUGGACCAGGAUGAUUCCAUGACUAGAAAUGCAAACUACUGUUGCUAGAAGUUCCUGUAGCAGUAAAAAACAAGGAGCAAUAUUUCAAAAAACAACUGCAGAAGGAAUGACUGACCAGAGUAUUCAAGUAGCACAUGCAGCAACCAAGUUGUAAUGUUUAUAACUUCUGAAGUGGAAACUUGUUCAUUUGCUUAGUUUUAUCUGCUUGAGAGUGACACCAUAGAACUGUUAUGUAAAAUAAAACCUUGUAUAUGACUUCUACAUUUCAUUUUUAUUUUUAUAUCUAGAAUCCUUUAAAACAUGUGUUCUGCCCUUAUUUGGAAACCAAUGUAAAAAUCUAUAUAUAUA